rnacentral:misc_RNA from 1 species
AGAGGAAUAACGCUUUCACUUUUGAAAUUGUUGACAUACUAUUUGGAAUAGGAAGAAAUGGAAUAAAAAUUCAAGACUGGGGCGUACAUUAAUUAUUUUUUAAUAAUUCCUAUUCCCAUGAAUAAAUUAAUGUAAGAAAUAUGAAAUGCUUACUUUGAAGAAUCUUGAUGCUUUGUAAUACAUUGAAGUUGAUUCUAGUGUUUACUCAUAGACACCCAAGAGCUAUUCUAUGCUGUUUCAUUUAUGAUUGCAUUUUUUUAACAGAGUACGCUCAAGCCCUGAAUAUCUUAAUUGCAGGAUGUUGAUGCUGAGGG